GUCCUCGUAGCUCAGCUGGAUAGAGCAUACGCCUUCUAAGCGUACGGUCAUAGGUUCGAAUCCUAUCGGGGACACCA
rnacentral:tRNA from 1 species